rnacentral:rRNA from 1 species
UACAGAGGGUGCGAGCGUUAAUCGGAAUUACUGGGCGUAAAGCGUGCGUAGACGGUUAUGUAAGUCGGGUGUGAAAGCCCCGGGCUCAACCUGGGAAUUGCAUUCGAGACUGCAUAGCUAGGGUACGGAAGAGGGAAGCGGAAUUUCCGGUGUAGCGGUGAGAUGCGUAGAUAUCGGAAGGAACACCAGUGGCGAAAGCGGCUUCCUGGUCCGACACCGACGUUCAGGCACGAAAGCGUGGGGAGCAAACAGG